GUACGUACGUCAUAAUAAAAUAUUGUGAGGUCGUAAUAAAGUAUUGUGACGUCGUUA
rnacentral:pre_miRNA from 1 species